CACAAAUUGAGAUUUGACCAAUACUGAUAACAAAAAAGUCUCAAGGUAUAAACUCAUAGUGCUAUCAAACUUUUCAAGUAAAGGGUCAGUGGGUUUCUUGGUAGAUUUGCAUGAGGACAGUUUCUGAUGAAGAUGAAGAAAGAGUCAGGAGCCGAGGUGGGUUUGGCUGGACCUGGCAGUGGACUGGACGGAUAGGACACUCAUGUCGUGGAUGCUCAUCCCUGCAGCAGUGCCAGCAAACUGUAGCGUCAGUGUCAUUUGGUCCUGUCCUCAGCAAGCACAGCUUGCUGCUCAUCGUGCUGUUCACCAUCACAGGAAAGGACAUUUUCUCUGCUUGGUGCUGUCAGGUUGCACAUUGAAGCAACUAAUUGUAUGGAAUAGGCAUUGUGUAAGGUUAGAAGAAACCUGACUCUCUGAAAGGUUUCAGAGGGGAGGUUUUGGCACCAUAGAACCCAUGACUGGGAAAUGAUUGUAUUAGCUAGCUGUAUCUCCUCUAGAUACAAAUUGCAUCCAGCUGCCUGGCCAACAAAAGGGUGAAAAGAGGAGGAAUGCUGACCACACCUUUCCUCAAGCUGUUGAUUCCCUUUUCUUUUUUUCUUUUUCUUUUUUUUUUUCUUCUUUUUUAUUUUCUGCUGAGACAAGGCAGGAAACACAAUUUAAGUUGCCAGGGUGUUGAUACACACUGGCUGUGGUCUCCAGCUCAUUACUGUGGUCAGAGAAGUGCUUGCGGUGAGAUAUUUCACUCACUCCAGAGAAACUACAUACAUCAAAGCCCUUCCCCAAAGCCAUAUGGAAGUAGGAUUAAGGUGGGUGGAAAGCACCACCUUUCUCCUCAUAACCUCAAAGCUGGAAGAUCUCCACUGAGUGGCUGGGGGCCUGGCAUUAUUGCCACCAUCUGUCAACUGCUUCCCUUCUUUAUCAGGACCAUAGUGAUAUUCAGUGGCCUCAGACAAGAUGGAGACGAGACCCACUGUCUGCAACUGCAGCAGGAGGCAGCCAGGAGAGUUUGCUGUGUGCUACUGACAGACUGGACAAAGAAAAUAGUCUUGUUCUCUUUUUGCACGUGGGCAACAAUGGGUUAA
rnacentral:lncRNA from 1 species